rnacentral:rRNA from 1 species
UACGUAGGGUGCGAGCGUUAAUCGGAAUUACUGGGCGUAAAGCGUGCGCAGGCGGUUUUGUAAGCCAGAUGUGAAAGCCCCGGGCUUAACCUGGGAAUGGCAUUUGGGACUGCAAGGCUGGAGUGUGGCAGAGGAGACUGGAAUUCCUGGUGUAGCAGUGAAAUGCGUAGAUAUCGGGAGGAACACCUGUGGCGAAGGCGGCCCCCUGGUUGGAUACUGACGCUGAUACGCGAAAGCGUGGGGAGCAAACAGG